AUACUUAUCUGGAAGCGGAGAUACCGUGAUCACGCAGGCGGUUCACCCAGGGCGAGGCUCGGCCAUUGCACUCCGGCUGUGUUGACCCCUGCGAAUUCCUCAAAUGUGGGAAUCUCGACUGCAUAAUUUCUGCUAGUGGGGGACUGCGUUCGCGCUCUACCCUG